UACGGAGGGUGCAAGCGUUAUCCGGAUUCACUGGGUUUAAAGGGUGCGUAGGAGGGCAGGUAAGUCAGUGGUGAAAUCUCCAAGCUUAACUUGGAAACUGCCGUUGAUACUAUCUGUCUUGAAUACCGUGGAGGUGAGCGGAAUAUGUCAUGUAGCGGUGAAAUGCUUAGAUAUGACAUAGAACACCAAUUGCGAAGGCAGCUCGCUACACGAAUAUUGACUCUGAGGCACGAAAGCGUGGGGGUCAAACAGG
rnacentral:rRNA from 1 species